GAUGAACGCUAGCGGCGUGCCUAACACAUGCAAGUCGAGCGGGGGCAACCAAAGUAGCAAUGCGGCGGAGGCCCCAGCGGCGGACGGGUGAGUAACACGUGAGCAAUCUGCCUUUGGCUGGGGAAUAACAUUGUGAAAACAGUGCUAAUACCGCAUGACAUCCGGGAGGGGCAUCCCUUGCGGAUCAAAGGAGCAAUCCGGCCAAAGAUGAGCUCGCGUCCGAUUAGGUAGUUGGCGGGGUAACGGCCCACCAAGCCGACGAUCGGUAGCCGAACUGAGAGGUUGAUCGGCCACAUUGGGACUGAGACACGGCCCAGACUCCUACGGGAGGCAGCAGUGGGGAAUAUUGGGCAAUGGGGGAAACCCUGACCCAGCAACGCCGCGUGAAGGACGAAGGCCUUCGGGUUGUAAACUUCUCUGAUCAGGGACGAAAGAUGACGGUACCUGAAGAACAAGCCACGGCUAACUACGUGCCAGCAGCCGCGGUAAGAC
rnacentral:rRNA from 1 species